GUGCUGGUCUCACAGUGCUGGUCUCACAGUGCUGGUCUUCUAGCUGCACACCUGGUGUGUGAAGUGCUGGGAUGAAGCCCAAGGCUUCAUGCAUGCUAGGCAAGCACUCUAGCAAUCAAGCCAUUAUCCCCACCCCUACUACCAACCGCUGAACAUACUAGGGUGAAGCAGCUGAGGCCAAAAAGUGGUACUCAAGUUCCGGAUCCCUAAACAGCAAGCCUAAGACUUGGCUGACAAGGCAAAGACCCUGCAAGGCUGUAGAAUUUGUUCACUGUCCUGUUGGCUCCGCGUGGCUGAAAUAGUAGGACCAUAACUCCUACACUGAGCAAUCACCAUCUGAAACAAUUCAGAGAAAGUCCUCUUCACAGGUUUUGUGAUAACGGCUGGACCAGAAGAAAGUGAAGACAGAUUUUAAAUUAAAUCUCUUAAGGAAAAAUGAGAUGGGCACAAAGGAUGGAU